UACGUAGGGUGCAAGCGUUAAUCGGAAUUACUGGGCGUAAAGCGUGCGCAGGCGGCUUUGCAAGACAGAUGUGAAAUCCCCGGGCUUAACCUGGGAACUGCAUUUGUGACUGCAUGGCUGGAGUGCGGCAGAGGGGGAUGGAAUUCCGCGUGUAGCAGUGAAAUGCGUAGAUAUGCGGAGGACACCGAUGGCGAAGGCAGGUCUCUGGGCUGACACUGACGCUCAUGCACGAAAGCGUGGGGAGCAAACAGG
rnacentral:rRNA from 1 species